rnacentral:rRNA from 1 species
AGGAUAAACGCUGGCGGCGUGCCUAAUACAUGCAAGUCGAGCGGCAGCGCGGUCUUCGGACUGGCGGCGAGCGGCGGACGGCUGAGUAACACGUAGGAACGUACCCCAAAGUGAGGGAUAAGCACCAGAAAUGGUGUCUAAUACCGCAUGUGCUCUAAGGAGUAAAGCUUCGGCGCUUUGGGAACGGCCUACGCAUGAUUAGCUUGUUGGUGAGGUAAUGGCUCACCAAGGCGACGAUCAUUAGCUGGUCUGAGAGGAUGAUCAGCCAGACUGGGACUGAGAACGGCCCAGACUCCUACGGGAGGCAGCAGUAGGGAAUUUUCCACAAUGGGC